rnacentral:rRNA from 1 species
CAUGGCUCAGAUUGAACGCUGGCGGCAUGCUUUACACAUGCAAGUCGAACGGCAGCGGGGUAGUGCUUGCACUACUGUCCGGCGAGUGGCGAACGGGUGAGUAAUAUAUCGGAACGUACCGAGUAAUGGGGGAUAACCAAUCGAAAGAUUGGCUAAUACCGCAUACGUCCUAAGGGAGAAAGCGGGGGAUCGCAAGACCUCGCGUUAUUCGAGCGGCCGAUAACUGAUUAGCUAGUUGGUGGGGUAAAGGCCUACCAAGGCGACGAUCAGUAGCGGGUCUGAGAGGACGAUCCGCCACACUGGGACUGAGACACGGCCCAGACUCCUACGG